CCUACGGGAGGCUGCAGUGAGGAAUAUUGGUCAAUGGGCGUAAGCCUGAACCAGCCAAGUCGCGUGAGGGAUGAAGGUUCUAUGGAUCGUAAACCUCUUUUAUCAGGGAAUAAAGUGUGGGACGUGUCCUGUCUUGUAUGUACCUUAUGAAUAAGGAUCGGCUAACUCCGUGCCAGCAGCCGCCGUAAUACGGAGGAUGCGAGCGUUAUCCGGAUUUAUGUGGUUUAAAGGGUGCGUAGGCGGCGUUUUAAGGCAGCGGUGAAAGUCGGGGGCUCAACCAUAGAAUUGCCGUUGAAACUGGGGGGCUUGAGUAGGUGUGAGGCAGGCGGAAUGCGUGGUGUAGCGGUGAAAUGCUUAGAUAUCAGGAGGAACAUCGGUGGCGAAGGCGCUUUACUGGGCCGUAAUUGACGCUGAGGAACGAAAGCCAGGGUAGCAAAUGGGAUUAGAUACCCGGGUAGUC
rnacentral:rRNA from 1 species